UUCAAUCCGUGUGGACUACAUACUAGCAGCGCAUGUGCGGGACCUGUACUGGAGUUUUGAACAACGAGUGCUGCGUGCCAGGUAAAGAUGCGCAGAUCUACCUACUACCAUUUGCAGCAGAGGCGCAGAGCCACAUAUUUAGAACGCCACUACCGUUUCGAUGGUGUGGCAGCAGCGUGCCGGAGAUGGAACUUUUCCCAGGCGGCACUGUAACCGCCUUGAAACAAGAUGUAAGAUGAUCCUGUACAGUAAUUUGAGGCCGAAAAAGAACAAUCAGUACGCGAUUGAAUUUUCGCCAGAGCGUGAGCAGUCCUGACCUAACCUGACGACCCAAGGACCGAAGCACCGUGAAGCACUGAUGAGGCUGCUCCACCCCCUGCCCGAAGGAAAUGGUGUGUCGAUCUGCAGAUGUAUCUGCCCAUAUACAGUAGCUUGACGCAUGUGAGGCAAUCAUUUUAAGGGCGGUGCAAACGUGGCUUGGGCCUCCUAAUUUCCCAAUGUCAGCUGUCUUAUUAAUCCGAGCCAUG
rnacentral:lncRNA from 1 species